UACGUAGGGUGCAAGCGUUGUCCGGAUUUAUUGGGCGUAAAGAGCGUGUAGGCGGCCAGGUAGGUCGGUUGUGAAAACUGGAGGCUUAACCUUCAGACGUCGACCGAAACCAUCUGGCUAGAGUCCGGAAGAGGAGAGUGGAAUUCCUGGUGUAGCGGUGAAAUGCGCAGAUAUCAGGAAGAACACCGAUGGCGAAGGCAGCUCUCUGGGACGGUACUGACGCUGAGGCGCGAAAGCGUGGGGAGCGAACAGG
rnacentral:rRNA from 1 species